GGGGACGGGCGGCGUGCUACACAUGCAGUCGAACGAAGAGCGAUGGAAGCUUGCUUCUAUCAAUCUUAGUGGCGAACCCGUUAGUAACGCGUAAUCAACCUGCCCUUCAGAGGGGGACAACAGUUGGAAACGACUGCUAAUACCGCAUACGAUCCAAUCUCGGCAUCGAGACUGGAUGAAAGGUGGCCUCUAUUUAUAAGCUAUCACUGAAGGAGGGGAUUGCGUCUGAUUAGCUAGUUGGAGGGGUAACGGCCCACCAAGGCGAUGACCAGUAGCCGGUCUGAGAGGAUGAACGGCCACAUUGGGACUGAGACACGGCCCAGACUCCUACGGGAGGCAGCAGUGGGGAAUCUUCCGCAAUGGACGAAAGUCUGACGGAGCAACGCCGCGUGAGUGAUGACGGCCUUCGGGUUGUAAAGCUCUGUUAAUCGGGACGAAUGGUUCUUGUGCAAAUAGUGCGAGGAUUUGACGGUACCGGAAUAGAAAGCCACGGCUAACUACGUGCCAGCAGCCGCGGUAAUACGUAGGUGGCAAGCGCUGUCCGGAAUUAUUGGGCGUAAAGCGCGCGCAGGCGGAUUGGUCAGUCUGUCUUAAAAGUUCGGGGCUUAACCCCGUGAUGGGAUGGAAACUGCCAAUCUAGAGUAUCGGAGAGGAAAGUGAAAUUCCUAGUGUAGCGGUGAAAUGCGUAUAUAUUAAGAAGAACACCUGUGGCAAAGGCUACUUUCUGGACUAAAACUGACGCUGAGGCACAAAAGCCAGAUCAGCGAACAGGAAUAGAUAGGCCGGUCGGCCUGGACGCAAACGAUCCACACUAGGAACGAGAGGUAUCGAUCUCUGUCUGAGCUAGAGUAAACGAUAUAAG
rnacentral:rRNA from 1 species